rnacentral:rRNA from 1 species
GGUGCUUGCAUUGGGAGGAGAGUGGCGAACGGGUGAGUAACACGUGGAUAAUCUGCCUUCAGGAUUGGGAUAGCUGUGGGAAACUACAGCUAAUACCGGACAAGAUGGUAGCUUCACAAGAAGUAGUCAUUAAAGGUGGGGACCUUCGGGCCUACCGGCUGAAGAUGAGUCCGCGGCCCAUUAGCUUGUUGGUAGGGUAACGGCCUACCAAGGCUGCGAUGGGUAGCCGGCCUGAGAGGGUGAUCGGCCACAUUGGGACUGAGAUACGGCCCAGACUUCUACGGAAGGCAGCAGUUAAGAAUCUUGCGCAAUGGGCGAAAGCCUGACGCAGCGACGCCGCGUGGACGAUGAAGGCCUUCGGGUUGUAAAGUCCGGUAAGCAGGGAAGAAUAAGUUUCGUUGAAUAAGCGGAACGAUGACGGUACCUGCCUAAAGCCCCGGCUAACUACGUGCCAGCAGCCGCGGUAAUACGUAUGGGGCGAGCGUUGUUCGGAAUUAUUGGGCAUAAAGGGCGUCUAGGCGGGGAAUUAAGUUAGGUGUGAAAGCCAUGGGCUCAACCCGUGAAUUGCAUCUAAAACUGAUUCUCUUGAGUUCGGGAGAGGAGAGCGGAAUUCCUGGUGUAGCGGUGACAUGCGUAGAUAUCAGGAAGAACACCAGUGGCGAAGGCGGCUCUCUGGCCUAGAACUGACGCUGAAGCGCGAAAGCGUGGGGAGCGAACGGGAUUAGAUACCCCGGUAGUCCACGCCGUAAACGUUGUGUACUAGGUGUUAGUGCUUUAAGCACUAGUGCCGACGCUAACGCAUUAAGUACACCGCCUGGGGAGUACGCCCGCAAGGGUUAAACUCAAAGAAAUUGACGGGGGCCCGCACAAGCGGUGGAGCAUGUGGUUUAAUUCGAUGAUACGCGAAGAACCUUACCAGGGCUUGAACUGUUUCUGACAGGUGUAGAGAUACACCCUCCUUCGGGCAGAUUCAGAGGUGCUGCAUGGUUGUCGUCAGCUCGUGUCGUGAGAUGUUGGGUUAAGUCCCGCAACGAGCGCAACCCUUACUCCUUGUUGCUAUCAGGUCAUGCUGGGCACUCUAGGGGAACUGCCGGUGAUAAACCGGAGGAAGGUGGGGAUGACGUCAAAUCA